rnacentral:rRNA from 1 species
AGGUAAUCCGUUAGAGUUUGAUCCUGGCUCAGAUUGAACGCUGGCGGCAUGCCUUACACAUGCAAGUCGAACGGCAGCAUGAUCUAGCUUGCUAGAUUGAUGGCGAGUGGCGAACGGGUGAGUAAUACAUCGGAACGUGCCCUGUAGUGGCGGAUAACUAGUCGAAAGAUUAGCUAAUACCGCAUACGACCUGAGGGUGAAAGUGGGGGACCGCAAGGCCUCAUGCUAUAGGAGCGGCCGAUGUCUGAUUAGCUAGUUGGUGGGGUAAAGGCCUACCAAGGCGACGAUCAGUAGCUGGUCUGAGAGGACGAUCAGCCACACUGGGACUGAGACACGGCCCAGACUCCUACGGGAGGCAGCAGUGGGGAAUUUUGGACAAUGGGCGAAAGCCUGAUCCAGCAAUGCCGCGUGUGUGAAGAAGGCCUUCGGGUUGUAAAGCACUUUUGUCCGGAAAGAAAUGGCUCUGGUUAAUACCUGGGGUCGAUGACGGUACCGGAAGAAUAAGGACCGGCUAACUACGUGCCAGCAGCCGCGGUAAUACGUAGGGUCCAAGCGUUAAUCGGAAUUACUGGGCGUAAAGCGUGCGCAGGCGGUUGUGCAAGACCGAUGUGAAAUCCCCGGGCUUAACCUGGGAAUUGCAUUGGUGACUGCACGGCUAGAGUGUGUCAGAGGGGGGUAGAAUUCCACGUGUAGCAGUGAAAUGCGUAGAGAUGUGGAGGAAUACCGAUGGCGAAGGCAGCCCCCUGGGAUAACACUGACGCUCAUGCACGAAAGCGUGGGGAGCAAACAGGAUUAGAUACCCUGGUAGUCCACGCCCUAAACGAUGUCAACUAGUUGUUGGGGAUUCAUUUCCUUAGUAACGUAGCUAACGCGUGAAGUUG